rnacentral:rRNA from 1 species
UGGGGGAUAUUGCACAAUGGGCGAAAGCCUGAUGCAGCGACGCCGCGUGGGGGAUGAAGGCCUUCGGGUUGUAAACUUCUUUUGCUCUGAACAAGGCAUGCCUUUGGGGUGUGUUGAGUGUAGGGGUUGAUUAGCGCCGGCUAACUACGUGCCAGCAGCCGCGGUAAUACGUAGGGCGCGAGCGUUGUCCGGAAUUAUUGGGCGUAAAGGGCUUGUAGGUGGCUGGUUGCGUCUGUCGUGAAAGCUCAUGGCUUAACUGUGGGUUUGCGGUGGGUACGGGCUGGCUUGAGUGCAGUAGGGGAGGCUGGAAUUCCUGGUGUAGCGGUGGAAUGCGCAGAUAUCUGGAGGAAUACCGGUGGCGAAGGCGGGUCUCUGGGCUGUUACUGACGCUGAGGAGCGAAAGCGUGGGGAGCGAACAGG